UCUCUGGGUUUCAAGUGUAGAUUAUACUUGCGACGUACUGAUUGGGCCUCAAGUCCUCCGCCAAAUGUCUGACAUAUAUAGGAAGAUGUGACGAACAUCAUGAUUUCUUUUGGCAAAUCUUCAUGAUUGGGAGGGUGAUAAUGUUGUUCCAUAUAGUGAUCUUCCCAUGAUUGAUCAGCAUGCGCUGUUUCAGCUUGAAAAUGUUGUACAGAACAUCAAAGACAGCUUCAAAAAUUAUCAAUUCUUCAAAAUUUUCCAGAUUUCUAUUUUGAUGCUGCCAAAGAUCGACUUUAUGUUGGGUAUGUUACUUUGCAUCAUAAAGAACUAUAUCUUUAGGUACUUUUUUUCUUACUUUACAUCAUAAAGAACUAAACAAUUCCUUGCGUGUGAUUCCUUUACCACCUAACUAUCAUUCUACAUUUUUUGGCACUAGGGAUGUUGCAAUAUUGAUGGUUAAUGAAUUUAGAUUCUGUUUGCCAUGUAGGUUUUCUGCAUUCAAUGUCUUAUGAUUUUCAAUUGUCAACCUAGUAUGGGACACCCUAUUUCUCAUUUUCCUUAUUGGCCUCUGCACUUUUAGCUAAAAUGUUGAUUCUGCUGUACCACA